rnacentral:rRNA from 1 species
GAUCCUGGCUCAGGACGAACGCUGGCGGCGCGCCUAACACAUGCAAGUCGAACGAGAGAGAGGGAGCUUGCUUCCUUGAUCGAGUGGCGAACGGGUGAGUAACGCGUGAGGAACCUGCCUCAAAGAGGGGGACAACAGUUAGAAAUGACUGCUAAUACCGCAUAAGCGCACGGUACCGCAUGGUACAGUGUGAAAAACUCCGGUGGUGUGAGAUGGAUCCGCGUCUGAUUAGGUAG